UGACGUGUAGCUCAGUUGGUAGAGCAGCGAACUAUAAUUCGCAGGUCGCCGGUUCGAAUCCGGUCACGUCAA
rnacentral:tRNA from 1 species